CCUACGGGCGACAGCAGUGAGGAAUAUUGGUCAAUGGGCGCGAGCCUGAACCAGCCAAGUAGCGUGAAGGAUGACUGCCCUACGGGUUGUAAACUUCUUUUAUAAAGGAAUAAAUUGAUGCACGUGUGCCAUUUUGUAUGUACUUUAUGAAUAAGGAUCGGCUAACUCCGUGCCAGCAGCCGCGGUAAUACGGAGGAUCCGAGCGUUAUCCGGAUUUAUUGGGUUUAAAGGGAGCGUAGAUGGGUUGUUAAGUCAGUUGUGAAAGUUUGCGGCUAAACCGUAAAAUUGCAAUUGAAACUGGCAGUCUUGAGUACAGUAGAGGUAGGCGGAAUUCGUGGUGUAGCGGUGAAAUGCUUAGAUAUCACGAAGAACUCCGAUUGCGAAGGCAGCUUACUAAACUGCAACUGACACUGAUGCUCGAAAGUGUGGGUAUCAAACAGGAUUAGAUACCCUUGUAGUC
rnacentral:rRNA from 1 species